GUCAGUGUUUAGCUUCUACCUUUGAGACUUCCUUUCAACCAAGUAGUCUGCCUUGUCUCAAGCAAGAUCCACCUUCCAUGUGCCACAUAUUCUGGCUCGGAGGUUUAGGUAUGUUUUGGUUUAGGCCUGGAAUAUCUCCAAAAGACUCAUUGCUGAAGGCUUGGUUUCCAAAGGAGAAAUGUUCAGAGGAACACCACAGACACGCUCUAUUAUUGCUGGACAUAUCUUAGACUGUGGAAACGGAGAGGGGCUAAGGAAUUUGCUUCAAGUCCGCCAACUAGAAACACAUCUCUUCCUGUGAGGUCAACAUUAUCCGAAUGCCAAAAACAAAGAUCUUACAAAGGGUAACAUCCACAUCCACAGCCCCCACAAAACAUUAGCAAAUUGACCAAGUGGGACUGACUACAGAUCCUGGAGCAAUGCUGUCUGUGGAGACACUCGUUCCUUAUGGCCUCUAAGCCUCGCAAACAUGGCUCGAAUGA